GUGGGGAAUAUUGCGCAAUGGGCGAAAGCCUGACGCAGCGACGCCGCGUGGGGGAUGAAGGCCUUCGGGUUGUAAACCCCUUUCAGCAGGGACGAAGCGCAAGUGACGGUACCUGCAGAAGAAGCGCCGGCUAACUACGUGCCAGCAGCCGCGGUAAUACGUAGGGCGCAAGCGUUGUCCGGAAUUAUUGGGCGUAAAGAGCUCGUAGGCGGUCUGUUACGUCUGCUGUGAAAACCCGGGGCUUAACCCUUGGCUUGCAGUGGAUACGGGCAGACUAGAGGCAGGUAGGGGAGAAUGGAAUUCCCGGUGUAGCGGUGAAAUGCGCAGAUAUCGGGAGGAACACCGGUGGCGAAGGCGGUUCUCUGGGCCUGACCUGACGCUGAGGAGCGAAAGCGUGGGGAGCGAACAGGAUUAGAAACCCGAGUAGUCC
rnacentral:rRNA from 1 species